CCUUAAAUCAUGGUGAAGGAACUCGGCAAAAUGCCCCCGUAACUUCGGAAUAAGGGGGACUCAAGACGUGACGUGAUUUACUCUUCUGAGCGUUGAGAGUCGCAGAGAGCACCCGGAAGCGACUGUUUAUCAAAAACACAGGUCUGUGCCAAGUUGUAAGACGAUGUAUACAGACUGACUCCUGCCCGGUGCUGGAAGGUUAAGGGGAAUUGUUAGCGCAAGCGAAGCAGUGAACUUAAGCCCCAGUAAACGGCGGUGGUAACUAUAACCAUCCUAAGGUAGCGAAAUUCCUUGUCGGGUAAGUUCCGACCUGCACGAAUGGAGUAACGACUUCCGGACUGUCUCCACCAUGAACUCGGUGAAAUUGCAUUACGAGUAAAGGUGCUCGUUACGCGCAGCAUGACGGAAAGACCCCGGGACCUUUACUAUAGUUUGGUAUUGGUGAUCGGGACGACUUGUGUAGGAUAGGUGGGAGACUGUGAAGCAGCCACGCCAGUGGUUGUGGAGUCAUCGUUGAAAUACCACUCUGGUCGUUCUGGUUAUCUAACCUCGGCCCAUGAUCUGGGUCAGGGACAGUGCCUGAUGGGUAGUUUGACUGGGGCGGUCGCCUCCUAAAAGGUAACGGAGGCGCCCAAAGGUUCCCUCAGCCUGGUUGGCAAUCAGGUGUUGAGUGUAAGUGCACAAGGGAGCUUGACUGUGAGACAGACAUGUCGAGCAGGGACGAAAGUCGGGACUAGUGAUCUUCUGGUGGCAUGUGGACGCGCCAGAACUCAACGGAUAAAAGGUACCCCGGGGAUAACAGGCUGAUCUUGCCCGAGCGCUCACAGCGACGGCAUGGUUUGGCACCUCGAUGUCGGCUCGUCGCAUCCUGGGGCUGGAGUCGGUCCCAAGGGUUGGGCUGUUCGCCCAUUAAAGCGGCACGCGAGCUGGGUUCAGAACGUCGUGAGACAGUUCGGUCCCUAUCCGCUGCGCGCGUAGGAAUCUUGAGAAGGGCUGUCCUUAGUACGAGAGGACCGGGACGGACUAACCUCUGGUGUGCCAGUUGUUCUGCCAAGGGCACGGCUGGUUGGCUACGUUGGGAAGUGAUAACCGCUGAAAGCAUCUAAGUGGGAAGCACGCUUCAAGAUGAGGGUUCCCGCACAGUAAUGUGGUAAGGCCCCCAGUAGACGACUGGGUUGAUAGGUCGGAUGUGGAAGCAUAGCGAUGUGUGGAGCUGACCGAUACUAAUAGGCCGAGGGCUUGUC
rnacentral:rRNA from 1 species